CCGAUUUAACCGUUCGGCUCCUGUCUUUUGUGUUUUCACAGGUUGAUUCCUAUUGUCUUCAGCACUUCUCUCUUGGUUUCACCAAGUGGCCAGAAAGUUUAUGGACAAUGCUGUGAUGGGCCCCUCACUGUUGGAAUCCUGUUUACUGAUGGAUCGAUCCCAGUUUCGUUAUGGUUCCUGAUCGGAGUCCGGCUGGAUUUUGGAUCUCCUGUUCUAUUUAAUUUGGAAUGUUUCAUCGUUCCUGUUUUGUUGUUAUUGUGUCGCAUCUCCAAAGAAAGAGGAAAUGGGUGGGGAUGUGCUAACUAUUAUACUGGGACUUGGUAUGGGUGUGGCCUAUCACUAUGGUUACCGUUUUUUCUUACUGUUGUAUUCUUUGCUGCUAUUGGUGGACAGUAAAGAAAGG